CCCGUGCGUUUCAUUUCAUUAGCCCAGGACCCAUUUUUGAAAUCAAACCCCCCCUGCGUUGUUCUCCCCCCUAUUUUCUCUUCGGCAUUUUCUCCCCUCACCGCCCAACUCAUCGUCUCUUCUGCCCAGCUGGUUGAUCUUGCUGCCGAUACCCACCAUCUGUCGCCUGGUGCUCUGCCGACAAGGGUAUAAACUACAUAAUGGGCAUGCAUUAUGCGUAUGCUUCUGUCAAAUUAGAUAUUGGCAUGCUGAAGAUUGAUGCUUUCAGCAUACAGAAAGGAAGAUUGAGCGUGCUUUAUGCGUGUAUAUGUGUUUGUGAAAUCAGCUGACUUGGUGUUCCUGUGACUUAUGUUUGUUUUUUAAUUUAAUUUCAGCAUUGGGUUUGUAAAGGGGAGAUAAACCAGAUAAUAGAAUGGAUGUGUAAUAUUUUCUUCAAGUGUAAUACAUUCAAGAAGUGUAAGAUGAUAUGUAAAGGGGUUAAUAUUUUCUUGAUGUGUAAAGGGGGUAAUAUUUUCUUAA